GCCCGCCCUUCCGGGCCCACUCCCGAGGGGACGGUCUCCCGCCCGCCCUCACACACAGCUAGCUCUUCAGGCCAGGCCCCCAGGGUUUCGUCCACCUCUCACCUUUGACGACGCGAAUGAAGAAUGAGGAGGUGCUGCGAUCGAACGACUGCGAGGAAACACACCCGCUCUCAUGGCAUUCCCAGUAAACUGAGAAGACGUGAUUAAACCUCAGGAUCUCCUACUAAUAGAGAAAUGUAUAACGAUUUAGCUACCAGAUCUGAAUACUGAAGGGUUGGUAGGGGACCAGAGAAUAGAGGAAGCAUUGUAGGUUCUAGAGUGGAGAAGGGACCAUCCAAAAUGGAGUUUGAAAGAGAAUUCUGGCCUUUGUGUUUAGAGUCUGGAAUUGUCAAGAGUCUGAAAGCACAGAAUAAGACUGCAGCUAGAGCAAUUUAGGCGCCAUAGUUUGUCAAAACAGGUAAGGGGAAUAAAGGGGAUGACACCAAGAGAUGUGCAAAGAAUCUGAAGAAUUCACCUGAAAAGGAUACAACCUCCUCCUGGAAGGCAGAGGAGUAAAUAGGGAAUUGGAAAUUAAUUCCUUAUUUCUGCACAUGCACAGAAUCUGGGCCCAGGUGACUUAUGGAACCUUUAUAGAGACCACGGUGACUGACACUCAUGGGAAAGGGGGUAGAGGGGCAAGAACUGACUGUUCAUCAAAAAUUAUUAGAUGAGUGUGUCCACGACACCAGGAGAUAUGUUGAAUCAUGGACAGGGACCAGCAUAUCCACUAAGCUCUAUAUAUCUUGAUGGUGCAGGAUCCAAGUGGGAUGGAACAACCAAUUCCUGCCCAUCCUCCUGCUCAAUAAUACAUGUGCUCAGAAUCUGUUCAUAAUGCAUGGUGAGACGGGAUCUCACUGUGUUGCCCAGGCUGGUCUCGAACUGCUGGACUCAAGUCAUCCUCCCAUCUUGGCCUCCCAAAGUGCUGGAAUUACAGGUGUGAGACGCUGUGCCUUGCUUUUUUUUUGUUUCUCCAACUUUUCUUAAAAUGUUACCUUCACUUCAGUUAAGCUGCCUUUGUUUGAUCUCUGAGAUCUAAUGUGGAAUGCCUUUUCUUAUACAUUUAUUCAACUUUGGCACUCUUGGUAUCUUGGGCUGAUAAUUCUUUGUUGGGGUUGGGGAGAGACUGCCCUGUGCAUUGUGUGAUUUAUUAAUGAAAAAUACUUUGCAAAAACA
ensembl:lncRNA PPP3CB-AS1 PPP3CB antisense RNA 1 (head to head)